GCCUGGAUAGCUCAGUUGGUUAGAGCGUGGUGCUGAUAAUGCCAAGUUUGCAGCUUUGAUCUCCGUACAGGACA